rnacentral:rRNA from 1 species
CACGCCGUAAACGAUGUACACUAGACCGGUGCGGUUUUGACGCCGUACCAGUCGUAGUAAAAACGAUAAGUGUACCGCCUGGGGAGUACGGUCGCAAGGCUAAAACUCAAAUGAAUUGACGGGGGCUCACACAAGCGGUGGAGCAUGUUGCUUAAUUCGAGGCAACGCGAAGAACCUUACCUGGGUUUGACAUGUACGGAUCAACCCCGUGAAAGCGGGGCCACAGUCGCAAGACCGGAACGUGCACAGGUGCUGCAUGGCUGUCGUCAGCUCGUGCUGUGAAGUGUCAGGUUAAGUCCUUUAACGAGCGCAACCCCUAUCGUUAGUUGCUCGGCGAAAGCCAGUACUCUAGCGAGACUGCCGGUGUCAACCGA